rnacentral:rRNA from 1 species
GAUGAACGCUGGCGGCGUGCCUAAUACAUGCAAGUCGAGCGAACGGACGAGAAGCUUGCUUUUCUGAUGUUAGCGGCGGACGGGUGAGUAACACGUGGAUAACCUACCUAUAAGACUGGGAUAACUUCGGGAAACCGGAGCUAAUACCGGAUAAUAUUUUGAACCGCAUGGUUCAAAAGUGAAAGACGGCCUUGCUGUCACUUAUAGAUGGAGCCGCGCUGCAUUAGCUAGUUGGUAAGGUAACGGCUUACCAAGGCAACGAUGCAUAGCCGACCUGAGAGGGUGAUCGGCCACACUGGAACUGAGACACGGUCCAGACUCCUACGGGAGGCAGCAGUAGGGAAUCUUCCGCAAUGGGCGAAAGCCUGACGGAGCAACGCCGCGUGAGUGAUGAAGGUCUUCGGAUCGUAAAACUCUGUUAUUAGGGAAGAACAUAUGUGUAAGUAACUGUGCACAUCUUGACGGUACCUAAUCAGAAAGCCACGGCUAACUACGUG